CAAGCCCGCGCCGGGCGAGGGGUUGGGUGGAAGUCGGGGCAGAGGAGGGCGAGGAGUGGCGGAUAGGCACAGGGCCCCGCGUGGGCAGAGAGGCUGGUGGGCAAAGGGGGAACGAGUCGCAGAGAAGGAAGCCCAGGAGGGGCCCGGGGAACGGAGACGUCCAGGCAGGACCCGACGUCCAGGACAGAGCCGGAGAGCGUCCGCGUACGGAGGAACCGGGCGAGCGAGCGCCCCGUCUCGGCUCUGGCUCCGGCCGCAGCCCGGACAAGGCAGCAGCAAGCGCAGGGCGCAGGGCGCAGGGCGCCCGGCGGGGCGGAGGUGAUGAGGACACGCACUCAGCCCAACCACUGCCUCCUAUUUGCACCUGCAGAUAGUGUGACCCCCCAGUUACACGGCACUGUGGCUGCGAAGAAGAGCUUUGGUGGUCAGAGAUGAUGUUCAUGGCGCACACGCUCGUGGUGCUGGGUUUCACCUGGGGCUGUGGAGUCCUUGCCCCGACCCCUCCUCGCGCUCACCCACUCCUGGUCUUUCCUUGCUCUGCUCCACCACCUUGUCUGCUCACCUGGUUCUGUCUGCCAGGUAUCUGGAUGUCCAAAGAACUUGUAGGCAGAAUACAUUCCAGAAAAGAACUCAACCAGGAAACCCAGUUGCCUGUGGCACAGGAAGAGGAGAGUCUGUUGGCAAACAUCUGGAAGCUUCUACAGAAGUCCCAUGAGGUACCUGUGGAAGCAUCUUCACACCUCAGUAGUAGAGCGCCCACGAGCAGUUGUCCUGCAAACAUGCGCUGAGCACCGUGCACAUGCUAGCAACAUCAGUGGCUCCCUAUCGCCAUAAGAAAUAGACGCCAAGCUCUUCCCAUGGUGCCCCUAUGUACUUACCUGUCCUAGCUCUCACGCGUCAUCCCCAACCUCACAGCUGUCACGCCCGCCCAAAGCGCCCUCCACUUCCACACCUCUGAAUCUUUAUGUCUGGAUUUUCUCUUCUCUUCCGUGUUUGGAGGAGGACUCCUUCUCCUUCCCCACAACCCAGGACCCAGGGAAGUGCUGUUUUCUCUGCCAGGUCUCUCCCAACCCCCAGCAUGUGCUUUCUCCAAAACGUACCCCAGAUCUGACUCUUCCACAUCCUCAUUGCUACUUCCCGGGCUCAUGCCAUUGUCCUUCUCUGGCCUGCUCUGUGGGAGCUGGCUCCUAUGGGGUUGGUCUCUGUACUUCUAGCCUUUUCCCUCCCAAGCCAUUUCCUAUGUAGCAGCCUGGCUGAUGAUUUUGGACGUCAUGAAUCAGAUGCUAUCAGUUCCAGUGAGUACCCUCAAGUGGCUUCCCGGUACAUCAUGUCCCCUGCCUGUCUCCCUAUUGUCACCUCAUCCGCGCUCUCCUGGUUCCCUGUGUCCCAGCUCCGACCACCACCUUCUCGUUCCUUUAACAAAACAGCCUUUCCCAGGGCCUUUUGCCUUCAUGGGUGCCUGGGAGGCUUUUCUGCUAGCUCCUCUCCAGGCUGUCUCUUUUCAUAAUUUAGGAACUGGCUCCAGUAUCACUUCUGGGAGAGGUCCUCCCUGGCCCUUCCACACAGUGGCCUCUGUUCUAUCCCGCCUGAUUAUUUUUACAGCAAUCAUCCCCAGAGCAAGUGCUGUUAUGUAUUUGUUUCUACGUUUAUUUUCAAUGUCUCUGGCUACAACGUGAGCUCAAUGGUGGCAGAGAUAUUGCCUGUGUUUAUUGCUGUAUCCCCAGUGCCCAGAACAGUCCUGGUGCUGACUGGGUCCUUGGUAAAUAAAUAUCUAUGAAUGACUGCUUUAA